CCUACGGGAGGCUGCAGUGAGGAAUAUUGGGCAAUGGACGAGAGUCUGAACCAGCCAAGUAGCGUGAAGGAUGACUGCCCUAUGGGUUGUAAACUUCUUUUAUAUGGGAAUAAAAUGUUCCACGUGUGGGAUGUUGUACGUACCAUAUGAAUAAGGAUCGGCUAACUCCGUUCCAUCAGCCGCGGUAAUACGGAGGGUCCGAGCGUUAUCCGGAGUUAAUGGGUUUGAAGGGAGCGUAGGUGGAUUGUUAAGUCAGUUGUGAAAGUUUGCGGCUCAACCGUAAAAUUGCAGUUGAAACUGGCAGUCUUGAGUACAGUAGAGGUGGGCGGAAUUCGUGGUGUAGCGGUGAAAUGCUUAGAUAGCACGAAGAACUCCGAUUGCGAAGGCAGCUCACUGGACUGCAACUGACACUGAGGCUCGAAAGUGUGGGUAUCAAACAGGAUUAGAUACCCCGGUAGUC
rnacentral:rRNA from 1 species